UACGUAGGGUGCGAGCGUUGUCCGGAUUUAUUGGGCGUAAAGAGCUCGUAGGUGGUUUGUCGCGUUGUCCGUGAAAACUCACAGCUCAACUGUGGGCGUGCGGGCGAUACGGGCAGACUGGAGUACUGCAGGGGGAGACUGGAAUUCCUGGUGUAGCGGUGGAAUGCGCAGAUAUCAGGAGGAACACCAGUGGCGAAGGCGGCUCACUGGCCCGGUACUGACGCUGGAGGGUGCGAAAAGCGUCGGGGUAGCAAACAG
rnacentral:rRNA from 1 species